rnacentral:lncRNA from 1 species
AUGCCUGCAUCCUUACUUUGGCAUAGGUGUCAAGCCACAAAUACUGGGCAGUUGCCUUAUCUAAAACACCAAGGAAUGAUGAGCUCAUUUCUACCUAAGAAAUACCAUGCCAAUGCCUUUGGGUUAACCUUACCUUCCCUUGACUUUAGGACAAAAGUAACUGUUGAACACCUAACAACCUCUAAGCAGUUUGUUAUGCCUCCUCUUGUGCCCGUCCACCAAUUAAAGACUUCAGUAAAACUCAAGAACCAUCAGGGGGCUACUUCAGGCACUGACCCACUCCCAAAGAUCUCACCAGGUCAUGACUAUCAGAGUAAGCAGAGGUUACCGUGCCUCAAACAUCAGCCCCAACCUCUGGCAUCCUCCAACCAUCGGGUUACAGCAGCUCCACCAUCCACAAAACGGAAGAGAUCCAAGACUAUGAAUGAACCCUCAGUGCCUCCUCACUCCCAGACCAGUUCCUCAUCAGUGCCAACAAGCAAGAGUCACAUAGCAGAAGUUCAUCGGAGUUGUAGACGCCAGCUCAAGAUUGCAACGGACCUGUUAGGAGGAUUUGACCUCUGGCCCAAGGAUGUUGUCAUAAAGCCACCUAGUCCUGAAGACCAUUCCAACACCACAGAUUCAGAAAAAACAUCAGACCAACCCUACCCUGAAAUACCCCCAAAACCUGUCCCAUUUUUAAAAUUCCUGAGUUCAAAGAAAGAACGACCUAUUCUCAGAACCUCGGAAACAAUUAUACUUUCUCUAAUCUUUAACAAUAAGUCCAGAGACAAGCCUGCACCUUCAUCAUUUGCCAAAUUUAUCAGUAGAGGCACAAACACAAAUGUACCAUGGCCUCAAAAUAAGAAUACAUCACCAGGUCCCAACCACCAGACCAGGCUAAAUGCUAGACCAUCACCAGAUUGGCCCUGGGCCAGAACAACAUCUGUUCCUUUUCUCCCUCCGAAAAUCUGGGAGACCUCCAUGCCCCAGACCACAGUUACAUGGCCUGACCACAUAGCUGAGGCUUCCCCAGGCCCUGAUUACAAGGUGAAAGACACAUUUGGGCCAUCACUACAUCCUGUCCGCCCAGUUAUAAUACCUUUACCAGGACGUAAUCAGAGUGGUGAGAUUCCACCAGGUAUAAAUGAUCAGGCCACAGAUCCUUGGGGACUGUAUUAUUGGUUUGAGGUUUCCAGGGGCCAAGGACAUCAAGAUUCAAGCUCAAUGAACCAGAGCAGUAAGCCUGAGGCAUCUGCCUCUAAAACACCAGUUGUAACAGUACCUCCCCUUAACAGAGUCCACACCUAG